rnacentral:rRNA from 1 species
UACAGGGGGUGCAAACGUUGCUCGGAAUCAUUGGGCGUAAAGCGCACGUAGGCGGUUCGUUAUGUCGGAUGUGAAAGCCCUUGGCUUAACCGAGGAAGUGCAUCCGAAACUGGCGAGCUAGAGUACGAAAGAGGAUCGCGGAAUUCCCGGUGUAGAGGUGAAAUGCGUAGAUAUCUGGAGGAACACCGGUGGCGAAGGCGGCAUCCUGGACCGAUACUGACGCUGAUGAGCGAAAGCCAGGGGAGCAAACGGG